GCGACGACACCUUGAAGUGGACCACCGUGGAAGUGGGAGCGGGGUUGGCGCUCAGAGUCACGCCGGUGGCUUUCUGGACCGCCUGGACUCCGGUCAGGGAUUCCAUGUCCACCGAGCCCAGAACAGAAGGCGGAGGCGUGGCCACCUUCAUCGCCAGCCCGUAGGCGCCUCGGAAGGAAUGGCUGUCACGCACAAUGAAGCAUCCUGGCUCCUUGUCCUUCAGGACUGAAAUGGCUGCGUGACACAAAACAUCGAGAUCUACUCAGCACCAAGAUGGAACGGAGGUCGAAGAGGUCGACAAUUUCCCCUUUCAGGAAAUUCUAUCAAAGCCGCGCGUCCCGCCAUGCCGACACGUGGAUCCGCCCAAAACCUACCUUCGGAUUCAUCCUCGACAGGUCGUGUCUUUUCUCCGACAGGUUGAUGAUCUGAGAAAAGGACAGUCGCGCCGCGACCGACCGGGAGGAGGCACGUCGCUCACCAGGCUACUUCCCGGCACUUUGAAGCGGGGGCCCGAGAGGGAGCCGCGGAGCGGGCACGUUUCGGCCCGGCGGAACGAAAGAGGCCGCGCGGCCAAAGAGGUCAUCGCGCGGGGAAACGGAGAAGCGGCGGAUUCGUCCCGCGGAGGGCGGCGGCGGCGGCGGCGGGCGCCAAUGUAAAUACGUCUGAGGUGCAGAAGAAGUGCUGGUGGAAAGUCGCAGAUCCCUCAGCCCGUCAUGGAGCUGGCUCGCUUUUUUUUUUUUUUUUUUUUGCCUCGAGAUGGGAGUCCCAGGACUCGGAUUCAAGGUGCCUUCUUUUAU